rnacentral:rRNA from 1 species
GACGAACGCUGGCGGCGUGCUUAACACAUGCAAGUCGAACGGAAAGGCCUGCUUUCCCUUGUGGAUUGCGGGUACUCGAGUGGCGAACGGGUGAGUAACACGUGAGUGAUCUGCCCCCAACUUGUGUAUAAGCCUGGGAAACUGGGUCUAAUUCCCGAUAGGACUGCAGGGUGGUGCCUGUGGUGGAAAACGAUUUUCUAGUGGUCGGGGAUGAGCUCGCGGCCUAUCAGCUUGUUGGUGGGGUAAUGGCCUACCAAGGCGGCGACGGGUAGCCGGCCUGAGAGGGUGGACGGCAACAUUGGGACGGGGAUACGGCCCAGACUCCUACGGGAGGCAGCAGUGGGGAAUAGUGCACAAUGGGCGGAAGCCUGAUGCAGCGACGCCGCGUGGGGGAUGACGGCCUUCGGGUGGUAAACUCCUGUCGGCCGCGAGGAAGCCACCUGGUUGGAAGGGUGGUGACGGUAGUGGUAGAAGAAGCACCGGCUAACUACGUG